rnacentral:sRNA from 2 species
AUAUACUCACGGACUAGCGAUUGUAACGGCAUCCUUUUUAAUCAAGUUUUUGUGAUUUAAAACGAUAUAGUGGAAAGCGCGGUAUUGC